rnacentral:rRNA from 1 species
AUUGAACGCUUGCGGAAUGCUUUACACAUGCAAGUCGAACGGCAGCACGGGGGCAGCCCUGGUGGCGAGUGGCGAACGGGUGAGUAAUACAUCGGAACGUGCCCGGUCGUGGGGGAUAACGUAGCGAAAGUUACGCUAAUACCGCAUACGAUCUGAGGAUGAAAGCGGGGGACCUUCGGGCCUCGCGCGAUCGGAGCGGCCGAUGUCAGAUUAGGUAGUUGGUGGGGUAAAGGCCUACCAAGCCGACGAUCUGUAGCUGGUCUGAGAGGACGACCAGCCACACUGGGACUGAGACACGGCCCAGACUCCUACGGGAGGCAGCAGUGGGGAAUUUUGGACAAUGGGCGCAAGCCUGAUCCAGCCAUUCCGCGUGCAGGACGAAGGCCUUCGGGUUGUAAACUGCUUUUGUACGGAACGAAAAGGCUCUGGCUAAUACCUGGGGCUCAUGACGGUACCGUAAGAAUAAGCACCGGCUAACUACGUG